UGGUGGAGCGAUUUGUCUGGUUAAUUCCGAUAACGAACGAGACUCUAGCCUGCUAAAUAGUACGCCGAUCUAUAGUCGGCGCGUACUUCUUAGAGGGACAAGUAGCGAUAAGUUACACGAAAUUGAGCAAUAACA
rnacentral:rRNA from 1 species